UUCAAGGAGUAGGAAGGAGAAAGACAUAAUUUUCUCGCCACUUGAGUCGGCGAGAUUUGUGAGCAAGGAAACCGCAUUAGUGUUGGUUAAGUCAGGGUUGGGUUAAGAAGAAAUCGAUGAGUUUGCUUUUAUUUUAAUCUAAACCUGCAAAAUGAACGCUCUUCCGCUGCUCGUCGUGGGGGCAACGCUGCUGAUCUUCUCAACAACAGAUGGCGCUGGCAGUGUCGGCUCUUGGUCCCAAGUGGUCGAAAAGUCGCCCGAGAAGAAACAUGUCACGGCGCACGCGAACGGCGAGAGGCGAGGUUCUCCGUGGGCGCCAGAC